CGCAGCUUCCAGUCUGCAGGGGUGAGGGAGCAUCAUUUCAUGACGGAAACGACGCUCAUUUCCGUCAAGAGUCUUCCUCAGUGAUAUGAGCAUCAUUCCCUUCCUGACACCUCAAUACACUUUGGAGGAAGAUCACAUCUUAAACAAGUUCAUAGAAAUGCUUUGAAAUGAAGCCGUUCAAGGACAGGGAAGGGGUAGGAGGCCAGCAACGUGGAACCACAUAGCUGACGCCCAGAGAUCCCACCGCGAAACAGAAGGAGCCAGGACGGAAUGUGAAAACGUCCACGUCUCUAAAAUUAAAUUACAGACUUUAUGGAGCGAUCGGCAUACCUUUGUGUCCAUUCUGUGUCCUAGAACGUGGGAAACAUCUGUAUGUUUAUCGUUUGUUUGUUUGUUUGUUUGUUUUUUAAUAAAAGUAAAUGAUUAGUUUAU